rnacentral:other from 1 species
CAUCCUCUGCGGUGUUUGUAAGCGGGCUAAGUAACCUUUGAGCCUUAAUGCAAACCCAUGGGAACGGGGCUGUUGGAUUUGUGUGCAUGUCCGCACGACGGAAAGCCUAAUGAUCCGCGCAAGUUCCCACUUGAACCUUUGGUUCAAGGUCUAAUGCCCCAACGGCACAGGCGGAGGAUGU